UGCCAGCAGCCGCGGUAAUACGGAAGGUGCGAGCGUUAAUCGGAAUUACUGGGCGUAAAGCGCACGUAGGCGGUUGGGUAAGUCGGAUGUGAAAGCCCUGGGCUUAACCUGGGAAUUGCAUUCGAUACUGCCCGACUAGAGUAUGGGAGAGGGUAGCGGAAUUCCGGGUGUAGCGGUGAAAUGCGUAGAUAUCCGGAGGAACAUCAGUGGCGAAGGCGGCUGCCUGGGCCAAUACUGACGCUGAGGCGCGAAGGCGUGGGUAGCGAACGGGAUUAGAUA
rnacentral:rRNA from 1 species